GCCGGGUCGCGGCCCGGAUCGGGCAGGGCCCGGCGAUCUGGGUGCCGAUGGCGAUCUGCGUGCCCGUGCAGCUGGUCAUCCCGCUGGCUCAGCG
rnacentral:tRNA from 1 species